AUUCAGUCUGGAGGGGCGGACGCGGGUGUCGGAAGACGGUAGGGCUUCCCCGAUCGGGGGCCGUCCGGCUCCGCGGAGCUCCGACCCGCCAGACGCAUUUGUCUCUCGCCCGAAGGACGCCGCAGCCGGCUGGGUAGUGCAAGCGCGACGGCCUGAGAGGCGGAAGAUGGCAGGUGGCCGGUGGCCCGCUACGCGGGUUGCCGGUUGUUAGCCGUUCCGUCGGUGGCUCGUCACCCGGCCGAGGUGUCGCCAGGCCCCUCGGGGCCUCGUCGUCUCCUCCUCUGAGGAUGUCGGGACGGAGUGCUGCAGGUGGGCGACGUCGUCCCGUUCGCACCCCUACGGGGUGGUCGGGCGAACGGAGCCCGCCGCUGGUGGCACCGGACCCGUCGGAGGCUGGAGGCUUGCGGCGAGUAGGUCGGUCACCCACCCGACCCGUCUUGAAACACGGACCAAGGAGUCUAACAUGUGCGCGAGUCAAUGGGUCUUGAAUAGGCCCAGGGGCGCAAUGAAAGCAAAGGCCGACGCCACGUCGGCCGAGUUGGGAUCCCCCGAGAGAUCGGGGGCGCACCAACGACCCGUCCUAUCCGGCUCGCCGGUUGGGCGGAGUGAGAGCGUACACGUUGGGACCCGAAAGAUGGUGAACUAUGCCCGGACAGGACGAAGCCAGAGGAAACUCUGGUGGAGGUCCGCAGCGGUUCUGACGUGCAAAU
rnacentral:rRNA from 1 species